rnacentral:lncRNA from 11 species
CUCUACUCACGAGAGAACAAUGGAGGCCAAUUGAGCGAGUAAGUUGUUUGGAAACAGUCCGCAGCCCACAACAGCGAUGAGCACACAUAAAGAACGCACAUUAAGUGUUAAGAAGUGGAGAGGACAACUAUAGUUGGAGAUCUAUUUCUUUAUAGCGAAUUCCUCUGACUCAUCUCCUUGAGUGUCUCCUUACUCUCUCUGCUGGAAGCUAACAAGGCAGCCCUUCUCGCAAACAAACUUUCAGAGACAAAGAAAGCUAAAGUCCAGGUUUCCUUGGGAGUGAAGCAUCGGGGGAAGGGGGCAGGAGAAAUGCUAUGUUGUGGGUCAACUCUUUCUCUGCAUUAUAAUAACAGAAGGAAAAUGACUGGAAGCCAUUUUUGACGAAGGCAAUGACUGAGUGAAGCAACAGAGAAAGCAGCAAGCCCAUCAAAGGAAAGAUGCCCAGUAAUCUUUAGUAUUGAACUCAUUUGGCCUUAUUUCGGCUUUCAAAGAUAGUACAUCAUGCAUGUGAGGGUGAGCAACCUGG